UACGUAGGUGGCAAGCGUUGUCCGGAAUUAUUGGGCGUAAAGCGCGCGCAGGCGGUCCUUUAAGUCUGAUGUGAAAGCCCACGGCUCAACCGUGGAGGGUCAUUGGAAACUGGGGGACUUGAGUGCAGGAGAGAAGAGUGGAAUUCCACGUGGUAGCGGUGAAAUGCGUAGAGAUGUGAAGGAACACCAGUGGCGAAGGCGACUCUUUGGCCGUGUAAC
rnacentral:rRNA from 1 species